AUAUCCGGAUCGUAUUUUCUAUUUUUAUUUAAUUAGUUAGGGCGUGCAUUAAUAUUAGGUUCCAAAAUAUAUUUUCCAUUGUCCACAGGUGGUAAUAUAAUAGUUUUAGCGAACGGGUAUUCGCAGUUUUAUCGCUUCGGCUAAAUUUAAUAUAUAUUGCAUUAUUAUGCAAGUUGCCGUCGGCUUUGUUUAACCUGUAACGCCCGACAAAUAAAAACCUUUGGUAAUUGCUGCUUUAUUUGCCGCUAACGUAAUUAAUUAUUCCGGUUGCACAACGAAAUAACGGUGCGUUUUUUAAUACCGAAACGCACAAAUUUCGGUUUUCCCGCAAAAUUAGCAAGGUGGUUGGAAAGGGUUUUUAAAUUGGCUUAAACAGGUUUUAAAACCAUAAAAAUAAAAACGAAAUGUUUAAAUUUAUCGGGGAUUUUUUGAAAAAGGAUUUGCCCAGCGUUUUUUUUUUUAAAAUGCCUGGAAAGGACCCGAAAAUUUCCAAGAAAAAUUGGGUACAAAAGUUCCCUAAAAUAAAAACAGGAUUUCGAAACGCAAUUUUAAAUUGCAUCGAAGAACGGCCCGGUUAAAAAUAUGGUUAUUUUUAAAAUUUAGCAGAAAAUCGUAUAAAGCGAUUUAUAUUUAACACGAACGUAUUUUAUAAAUUUAUCGAACAAAAAGCAGACGUUACCCGAGAUUUUUAAAAACAUUUGUUUUUUCCAUAUUGUUAGGUUUAAAACGGGUUUAACGUAUUUAAACGCUCGCAAUUAGGACCAUCAGGGGUUAUUAUUAAUUCCAAAACCAUCGAUUAUUAUUUUUCGUUAAUGGUCGAAAAUUAUAAAUAUUAUUUGUACGUUGGCGAGCUAAAACCAUGGGGUGUUAUUUAAAAAAACAAAUGGUCCGGGGCCAAAAUUAUCGGAACAGUUACCAAAAAGUUAGGGUAAAAAAUAAAAGGGUUAGUAAAUAUAUAUUACAAUUGCGGAGCGUUUUCGGUUAUUAACAAAUUUGGUAUUUUUAAAAUACGUUUACAAAUACGAUUGCCUACAGGUUUUUAUUUAUAAUUCCCGACACCUUUUAAUUUUUCAAUUUUACGCGACUAUUCGAAAAAAUAUUAAAAGUUAAAAUUGUUUAAUUAAUAUAUGGGUUAUUCCGCGUUCAAGUUAAUUUUACGGGGUUAAUAUUACGAUGCGGGAAACGCUGGAUAUAUUAAUUCGGUGUGGAUAAAUGCGUAUCGUUGGCCAAUUAAAUCGUCGUUCAAAUAUUUAAAUCGGGAAAUGGAUGUAAAAAUUUAAAUAUUAGUUUGGGAGGCCCCGAUGGAGGUAUUGCAAUUUAAAUAGCAUUAGGUUAUCGUAUCCAAACGGAUACCGGCGUAAAUAUAAUAUUAGGGUAGGGAGGUGGUAUUGGUAUACCAAUGGUUAAUUUGUUAACUGGUCCAGUCCUGAGUUUAAAAAUAGCACGUAAUAUAAAACGCAAAAAACGUUUACCGACCUAAUAUUUGGAAUUUUAAAGUUGGAAACAACUAUAGCUGGCGUUAAUAUUAUUACGGCCAGGCGUCCAUUAGAAAACCUUAAUAUAUUAGGCGCUAUUAACGAAAAUUCUAAAUUGAAAAAAAAAAAUUACAAUCGACGACGCGCUUAAAAAACGCGUUUAAAUCCGGAAUUAGUGGACCUUUGUCCGAUCCCUGGUUCGGCCUGGAGCCGAAUCGUUUUAAGGGUAAAUUUAGGGGCCUAAUUUUUACAAAUACAAAUAAUAGAAAAAUAAAACUUCACACUGCCUCGGGUCCGAAAAUAGGAGAAAAAGUUUCAGAUUCCUGAAAUUAAAUUGAAAAUGUGGGCCCGCGAAAUCUCAAAUACCAAAUUUCAACUGUAAAAUUUGUAUUAAUUGUAAAAACUCGGUGCUAAAUUUGUUUUUAACUAUAAUUAAAUAAAUGGAGGGUAAUUAUUAUUUUAGCCUAUCGCGGAAUCGCCACGGCCCAUUUUUGGGCCUUUGGUUAAAAUUGCCCCAACCAAAAUCGGCAUAUCCAAAAUUGGGCAAACCUUAACCUAAUUUCAAUUUUUCCAUAUUCCAAAUUAUUUUCGUCGGAAUCCUAACUUUUUUUGGGCAUCCCAGAAUUUAACCAUUUUAUUAAUAUAAAUCCAAAUUAACGGUAAAUUGUUUUUGGAAUUAUAAUAUGGAAUUUAAUAACGAACUUUUCGUUUUAAUUACCUAAUUAUUUUUUCGGUUUUAUACCGUUUUAAAAUUUGUAAAUUUUAUUUAAAAAAUGCGACAAUUAUAUUUAAUUUUUCCCGCAUUUUCAAAAUAACUAAACGAUAUUAGAAAUUUAAAAAGCUAAUUGAAAAAGCAUAUUUUCUUAUUAGAUUUGGAUUUUAAAAUUUAUUUUUUAAAUAUACCGGUAUAUUACAACGGAUUAUUAGUAUAUAUAAUCCUUUUUUUUACCUGGCUACCGUCUUUGGAAAAUCGGUUUAUGGUGCUUUUCUAAAUUAUUUUAUAUAUUCCGAAAUAAUCGUGCCCCUCCAUAAUUUUUCAGGGUAUUUUAUAUUUUAUUAUUUAUUUAGGGAAAAACAUUUUUAAACACAAUUUUUUUAUAUACGCAAUUA
rnacentral:sRNA from 1 species